rnacentral:rRNA from 1 species
GAUGAACGCUAGCGGCAGGCUUAACACAUGCAAGUCGAGGGGUAGAGGAAGCUUGCUUCCUUGAGACCGGCGCACGGUGCGUAACGCGUAUGCAAUCUACCUUAUACAGGGGAUAGCCCAGAGAAAUUUGGAUUAAUACCCCAUAGUAUAAUUGAAUGGCAUCAUUUGAUUAUUAAAAGUUCCAACGGUAUAAGAUGAGCAUGCGUCCCAUUAGCUAGUUGGUGUGGUAACGGCACACCAAGGCGACGAUGGGUAGGGGUCCUGAGAGGGAGAUCCCCCACACUGGUACUGAGACACGGACCAGACUCCUACGGGAGGCAGCAGUGAGGAAUAUUGGUCAAUGGGCGCAAGCCUGAACCAGCCAUGCCGCGUGCAGGAUGACGGUCCUAUGGAUUGUAAACUGCUUUGUACAGGAAGAAACACUCCCUCGUGAGGGAGCUUGACGGUACUGUAAAGAUAAGGAUCGGCUAACUCCGUGCCAGCAGCCGCGGUAAUC